CUUUAAAGGACACAGAAAAAUGUAAUUUACUGGAUUGACUUCAACACCUGUUGCCUUUUAAUAAUGGUAUGAACUGCUGUUACUUAAUAGCUGUUAGAGCGGAUCCAGUUCUUUAUCAAUGGUAUAAGAUGGGACAAUAGCUAUUAAAAAUCCACAAGCCGUACUAUCUGCAAAUAUUAUGGUGGACAUCAAAAAGCUUUAAAUGCAAUGAAACUUGCAGGAAAAGACUAUUUAGGACUGUACUUAAUAGCUGUUAGUAUGGUCGCAGUCCUUCAUCGCUGAUAUCUCCGCAUUUUCUUAACUAUGGAUAUCAACAGUUGCUCCUACUCCUUGCUUCCCUCUUUCACUCAACAUGAAGCAGACUCAAUACUCCUCAAUGUCUCACCAAGGUUCGUUAGCUUCAUUAAUAGUGUUAUUGUUUCAAUAAAUUUGUUUAUUGGUUUUUAUCCUCUUACUAUAUAAUUAUAUCAGGCGUCAUUUUAAUGUUAA